rnacentral:rRNA from 1 species
AUUGAACACUGGCGGCGUGCCUAACACAUGCAAGUCGAGCGGAGUCAGUAAGAGGAAGUUUUCGGAUGGAAUCUUAUUGAUUUAGCGGCGGACGGGAGAGUAACGCGUGAGCGACCAACCUUGCACAGGGGGAUAACGGACCGAAAGGUUCACUAAUACCGCAUGAGACCACGGUGUUGCAUGACACAGAGGUCAAAGGAGCAAUCCGGUGCAAGACGGGCUCGCGUCCGAUUAGGUAGUUGGAGGGGUAACGGCCCACCAAGCCUAUGAUCGGUAGCCGACCUGAGAGGGUGAUCGGCCACAUUGGAACUGAGAUACGGUCCAAACUCCUACGGGAGGCAGCAGUGGGGAAUAUUGGGCAAUGGGGGAAACCCUGACCCAGCAACGCCGCGUGAAGGAAGAAGGUUUUCGGAUUGUAAACUUCUGUCCUUGGUGAAGAGAAGAAGACGGUAGCCAAGGAGGAAGCCCCGGCUAACUACGUGCCAGCCGCCGCCGUAA